ACAGGGAUUGCCCUAGUAACGGCGAGUGAAGCGGCAACAGCUCAAAUUUGAAAUCUGGCGUCUUCGGCGUCCGAGUUGUAAUUUGCAGAGGGCGCUUUGGCAUUGGCAGCGGUCCAAGUUCCUUGGAACAGGACGUCACAGAGGGUGAGAAUCCCGUACGUGGUCGCUAGCCUUUACCGUGUAAAGCCCCUUCGACGAGUCGAGUUGUUUGGGAAUGCAGCUCUAAAUGGGAGGUAAAUUUCUUCUAAAGCUAAAUACUGGCCAGAGACCGAUAGCGCACAAGUAGAGUGAUCGAAAGAUGAAAAGCACUUUGGAAAGAGAGUUAAAAAGCACGUGAAAUUGUUGAAAGGGAAGCGCUUGCAGCCAGACUUGCCUGUAGUUGCUCAUCCGGGUUUCUACCCGGUGCACUCUUCUAUAGGCAGGCCAGCAUCAGUUUGGGCGGUUGGAUAAAGGUCUCUGUCAUGUACCUCCUUUCGGGGAGAUCUUAUAGGGGAGACGACAUGCAACCAGCCUGGACUGAGGUCCGCGCAUCUGCUAGGAUGCUGGCGUAAUGGCUGUAAGCGGCCCGUCUUGAAACACGGACCAAGGAGUCUAACAUCUAUGCGAGUGUUUGGGUGUCAAGCCCGAACGCGUAAUGAAAGUGAACGGAGGUGGGAACCUUUCGGGGUGCACCAUCGACCGAUCCUGAUGUCUUCGGAUGGAUUUGAGUAAGAGCAUAGCUGUUGGGACCCGAAAGAUGGUGAACUAUGCUUGAAUAGGGUGAAGCCAGAGGAAACUCUGGUGGAGGCUCGCAGCGGUUCUGACGUGCAAAUCGAUCGUCAAAUUUGGGCAUAGGGGCGAAAGACUAAUCGAACUAUCUAGUAGCUGGUUCCUGCCGAAGUUUCCCCCUCAGGAAAAGCCG
rnacentral:rRNA from 2 species